rnacentral:miRNA from 1 species
GCUAGGCAAGCACUCUACCACUGAGCUGCAGCCACAGCCCACUUGGGUUGAUUUUUAAACCAUGUGAAUGUGUUGUAUAUUCAAAAUUUUUAAUGAAAAGAAAUUGUAAUUUAUCUUGGAUUAAAAAAAGAGGAUUGGGGGCUGGGGUUGUGGCUCAGUGGUAGCAUGCUUGCCUAGC